rnacentral:rRNA from 1 species
UGGGGAAUAUUGCACAAUGGGCGCAAGCCUGAUGCAGCAACGCCGCGUGAAGGAUGAAGGUCUUCGGAUUGUAAACUUCUAUCAGUAGGGAAGAAAAGCAACGUAAGUUGCCAUGACGGUACCUAACUAAGAAGCUCCGGCUAACUACGUGCCAGCAGCCGCGGUAAUACGUAGGGAGCAAGCGUUAUCCGGAUUUACUGGGUGUAAAGGGUGCGUAGGCGGCUUGUUAAGUCGGAAGUGAAAUUUCGGGGCUCAACCCCGGAGCUGCUUCCGAAACUGGCGAGCUAGAGUGUGGGAGAGGAAAGUGGAACUUUGAGUGUAGCGGUGAAAUGCGUAGAGAUUCAAAGGAACACCAGUAGCGAAGGCGGCUUUCUGGACCAUAACUGACGCUGAGGCACGAAAGCGUGGGGAGCAAACAG